rnacentral:rRNA from 1 species
UACGAAGGGGGCUAGCGUUGUUCGGAAUCACUGGGCGUAAAGGGCGCGUAGGCGGCUCAUGAAGGCUGUGGUGAAAGUCCGGGGCUCAACCUCGGAUCGGCCGUGGCGACUCGUGGGCUGGAGCACUGUAGAGGCGGGUGGAAUUCCGGGUGUAGCGGUGGAAUGCGUAGAGAUCCGGAAGAACACCAGUGGCGAAGGCGGCCCGCUGGGCAGUGGCUGACGCUGAGGCGCGACAGCGUGGGGAGCAAACAGG